rnacentral:rRNA from 1 species
GACAGAGGGUGCAAACGUUGUUCGGAAUUACUGGGCGUAAAGCGAGUGUAGGCGGUUUGGAAAGUCGGAUGUGAAAGCCCCGGGCUCAACCCGGGAAGUGCAUUCGAUACUCCCAAGCUAGAGUAUCGGAGAGGUUGGUGGAAUUCUCGGUGUAGAGGUGAAAUUCGUAGAUAUCGAGAGGAACACCGGCGGCGAAGGCGGCCAACUGGACGAAUACUGACGCUGAGACUCGAAAGCGUGGGGAGCAAACAGG